GAGAGACUCAGGUAGUUAGCGUCAUUGAACAGAAUACCUGUGGGGCAAAAGCUGGAGAUAUCAGCAGCGCGUCUGCAGCAGCUGUGCUGGCCAUUGGCUUCAUCAGUGGGAAAACCUGAGUUUCUGUGCAGGGCGGGUCUCUGUGAAUCACGCUCUCUCCCACUACGUGUCUGCUAAUAAUAGCCUCUGCUUUCCUUCCUAGCUCGUAGCCGGCUGUAUUGACAUUUCAGCUUUGCUGGUGGGGUGGGGUGAAACUGAAGCAGAACCUUCGUGAGGGGUCCCAGGAAGCUGAGGACGCUGUCACUCACCCCACUCUUAAGGAAGGGAUAUUGUGUUUUCUUACAAAAUGAAAGUUUGUGGCAACCCUGUGUGGAGCAGGUCUGUCGGCACCAUUUUUCCAACAGCAUUAUUUUUAAUUAAGAACAAUGACGAAGGAUCGAGGUAAAUGAAUGAAGACACUGGCGUUCACUGGGAUGGAGGGUAGGAGUUUACCUCAGAAGAUGAUCUUGGAAAAUCACUUCUAUGGUAUUCUUGCUAAAAUUGCUAAAAAUGCAUAGCCUGAAUUCAGUCAAGAUCAGACAAACCCAAAUUGAGGGACAUUCUUAAAAAAUACCUGGGCAGGUACUCUUCAAAUAUGUCAAGGUCAUGGAAGACAAAGACGUUGAAAGUCUGUUCCAUAUUAAGGGAGACAAAACAACUACAUGCAACAUGUGGACCUGGACUGGAUUCUGGACCAGAAAAAGAACAUUAGUCAGACAAUUGAUGAACUUAAGGACUGUGGAUCAGAUAACAGUAUUUUGCUAGUGUUAACUUUCUUAUUUUUAUCAUUUCUCUGUGGCAUGAAAAAUGAUAACAUUUGGGUAAACUAGGGGAUGGGUAUUCAGGAAUUCUUUGUGGUAUUUUUCUCACUUUUUUUGUUUUUUGCAAGUCGAAAGUUAUUUCAAAAUUAAAAGUUGAAAAAUGGAAAAAAAAAAA